GAACUGCGAUAAGUAAUGUGAAUUGCAGAAUUCAGUGAAUCAUCGAGUCUUUGAACGCACAUUGCGCCCCCUGGCAUUCCGGGGGGCAUGCCUGUCCGAGCGUCAUUGCUGCCCUUCAAGCCCGGCUUGUGUGUUGGGUCGUCGUCCCCUCCGGGGGACGGGCCCGAAAGGCAGCGGCGGCACCGCGUCCGGUCCUCGAGCGUAUGGGGCUUUGUCACCCGCUCGAUAAGGACCGGCCGGGCGCCAGCCGGCGUCUCCAACCUUUUUUUCUCAGUUUGACCUCGGAUCAGGUAGGGAUACCCGCUGAACUUAAGC
rnacentral:misc_RNA from 1 species